AAUUUUUGCCACGCUGAUGGUAACUAUCUCUUCAUGCGAAUAAAGAGAUGACUCAAGGGAAGCCGGUGUGAAUCCGGCGCUGCCCCGCAGCGGUAUGUGGAAACGACCUCCGUUACAUGCACUGGACGCGAUGCGUCCGGGAAGCGACGGACAGUAGGCUGAGCCGUACGUCCACGAGCCCGAAUACCUGCCUCAGCCGGAAGCGUGCAU
rnacentral:ncRNA from 18 species